rnacentral:sRNA from 1 species
UUUAUCUGUUGAGCCUUUAUGUGGCACCAGCUGUGUGCACUAUUACCCGGUUUUACAGAUGAUGGAGGCCCAGAAGCAGGAGGUGGCUGGUGUUAGGUCACACAGCUAGGAGGCAGCAGAACGGUGGGGCGCUGCCUGUGCUCUUAACCCCCAGGCCAGGUCACCCCAUCAGGCAGUCAGGAGGGCUGGCGGCAGAGGGUGAGGUGGGCGGGAGGUGGUGCCUUCUCGGCAUUCUCACCGCAGCCUGGGUGCUGGGUGCCACUCUGACUUCAGCCAUGGCGGGGUCAGAGGAUGCCGAUAGGCGCUGCACGGGCUCUCAGAGGCCCCUCACCUAUGGCCAUGGCCUUGACUGUGGGGGCCUCUGUCCGCCGAUGAUCUCCCUUCAUUCCCUAUGGGGGGGGCGGUCCAGGGUGGUGGGGGCACAGCACCCCUGGGCAGUGCCCACAGGGUCCUGACCCGUGGCCCCCACAGGCGGGCUGCAUGCUGUUCCCCCACAUCUCCCCCUGUGAGGUGCGCGUGCUCAUGCUCCUGUACUCGUCCAAGAAGAAAAUCUUCAUGGGCCUCAUCCCCUACGACCAGAGUGGCUUCGUCAGUGCCAUCCGGCAGGUCAUCACCACCCGCAAGCAGGUGUGCCAGCCAAGCACAGCCCCUCUGGGGACAGAGGGGGAUUAGGCCCCACUGCCCUGGUUGGGCAGCCAGACUUGAUGUGGGCGGAGUGUGAUGCAAUAGCUGGAGCAAGGAGCUGCAGGGGAGCCCAGAGGAGGCUGGGCGGGUUCCCACCAGGGCUCCAUGGAAAAGCGGCCACUAGGUGGCUCUGAAGGGCUGGAGGGUGGGUCUUGGUGCAGCGGCAGGGAAGCCAGUGGAGCGGGGAGCUGGGCAGGGGUUGGGAUCAUCGUGCGGCUGGAAGGCCCUGCCCAGUGACCACGUGUCCUGGUCAUGCCUUGCCAGUUGAGGCAGACUCUGCAGGUCCUGUGCACCAGGUGAGGGCCGGGACCUGUCUCAGGCCACUGGGGAGCCAUGGGGGGCUGUGAGCAGGUGAGGGGCAGGGCCUCUUCCCCUGGGGCUAGAGAAUGGACCCAGCUGCGGCUAACAGGCCAAGGCUCAGAGGGAGGGAUGGCAGGCCCCAGGACAAACAGAGGUUUCCCAGGAGCCUGGGCCUCUCUUCCCACCCCCUUCCCUUCCAACAGGCAGUGGGACCUGGUGGUGUCAACUCAGGCCCAGUCCAGAUCGUCAACAACAAGUUUCUGGCAUGGAGUGGCGUCAUGGAGUGGCAGGAGGUGAGCCCUCGGCAGCCCGGGGAACUGGGACCCCCAGAUCCUCACGGACUGUGGCUGGGAGGGGACACUGGGGUUGGGGGUCUCCAGCCCUGAGGGCUUCUCUUUGCCUCUCCCCCAAAAGCCCAGGCCUGAGCCCAACAGUCGGUCCAAGAGGUGGCUGCCAUCCCACGUCUACGUGAACCAGGGGGAGAUCCUGUGAGUGCUGGGCUAGGGGGUGGAGGCAGCAUCCAGGGGAGCUGGGGCUUCCUGACCCUCGUCCCCUUGUGCCCCACAGGAGGACCGAGCAGUGGCCAAGGAAGCUGUACAUGCAGCUCAUCCCACAGCAGCUGCUGGUGAGGGGCUGGGGCCAGGUGCUUGAGCCUGCACGCAGUAGCUAUUACAGAUGGCGGGGCUGGGGGCAAGAGUGCCUCCCCGGGUGGCCUGAGCUGGCUGUGAGGGAGCAGAGCUGAGGGUGCUGAAGCAGGUGCGGUGGGUAGGUCCUCAGGCCUGGCUCCAAGGGGUCCCAGGCAGCCAGCUGGUGGCUGUGCAGGGACUGAGUGGGGCAGGGGCAGCCACGACUUGCACCUUGGGGGCUGCCAAGGGAUCUGAGAGCGGCUUCCAC